AGUGAACGCUGGCGGUAGGCCUAACACAUGCAAGUCGAACGGACGCACAGUAAGAGCUUGCUCUUACGGGUGGCGAGUGGCGGACGGGUGAGGAAUACAUCGGAAUCUACUUUUUCGUGGGGGAUAACGUAGGGAAACUUACGCUAAUACCGCAUACGACCUACGGGUGAAAGCAGGGGAUCUUCGGACCUUGCGCGAUUGAAUGAGCCGAUGUCGGAUUAGCUAGUUGGCGAGGUAAAGGCCCACCAAGGCGACGAUCCGUAGCUGAUCUGAGAGGAUGAUCAGCCACACUGGAACUGAGACACGGUCCAGACUCCUACGGGAGGCAGCAGUGGGGAAUAUUGGACAAUGGGCGCAAGCCUGAUCCAGCCAUACCGCGUGAGUGAAGAAGGCCUUCGGGUUGUAAAGCCCUGUUGUUGGGAAAGAAAAGCAGCAGGUUAAUACCCCGCUGUUCUGACGGUACCCAAAGAAUAAGCACCGGCUAACUUCGUG
rnacentral:rRNA from 1 species